rnacentral:lncRNA from 1 species
CGUCUUGAGGGGGAGCCAAUGGGUGGAAGGAGCCAGACUGCUGUUUGUUUGUGGGGGGCAGAGAAGCAAUGGUGUGUCUGAGGGGGACUGUAUGUGAGAGACAGAGACCGCGCGCUCUCCGGAAUGGACAGAGGAUGCUGCGCGCGAGAGACUGGCGGAGCGACUGGUUUGCCCGCCCGCCCGCCUCAGCCUCUCCCUCCGCAGCACGAUUCCACCUUUAGGCGGAAAGAAAAAUAAGACGAAAUAAAAUAAAAUAGAAACGCAAAGAGAGGCAGCCUGCCCGCCCGCCUGCCCACGCUGCUUUCAAGGGAAACGCAGAUUCAGUCGCCCUGAAAGCACUCCAGCUGAGGCGGAGUUUGACGUUUGCGCGGGUGGGCGGCUGUUCCGAGGGAGCCGAGCCACUGAAGCAGCGUCCGCGUUCAGAGAAGCAGGGACUGGGGGGGGGGGAAGGGGGGCACAGGAUCUGUUCCCCCCCCCCCAACCCUUUUUUUGGCGGCGGGAAAUCUUAACGCGUGCCUCUGUUGGAAACCGCUCCUUCUCCAGCCUCACACAACUAGUCCUUAGGAAACGGAUUCGCUUGAUGGGAACCAUUAAGGCUUUGUCUCCCUUGCCAGGGAAACCUCGACGUCUCUGUGCCAACACCCGUCGUGUUUAGUAGAGCAUUCUAGAGAGCUCCUGGACAUAUGCAGAGUGCUUUUGCUGCCCAAAGACUGCCUUGCUCUUCAACUCAGCCUCCUUUUAACUUGCCUUCUUCAUAUGGCGUUGAAACCUCCUCAGGAAACACCACUGGAAUCUACAUUACAAUGAAGCCCACCAUAUAAAACAGCCUUUGUAUGGAGGCUUCCUGAAAACAUGGCAGCUGCUCCUAAAGCAGCUUUAAAAACCAAGGCAAAAAUUAAGAUCUUUACCUCAACUCCCAAACAAACUGCACCAGAGCAUAGAGUGCUACUCCUGUCCUCCGAAGAUGCCGGCCACAGAGAUUGGCGAAACAUUACAAAGAACAACCUUCAGAACAUGGCCAAAGAGCCCGAAAAACCCACAACCAUUAGAUCCCACCCGUGAAAGCCUUCAUGAAUAUGUCUUUAACUUUGUUUUUUCCUAAGCAAAUGUAACGAAUACUGCAAGCUGGGACUUCUGCUCUGGUGGAACUGUAAGGGAUAUCAACAUGUGCUCUUUAGCUAUGUAACCAAAGUAUAAAUUACACAUCUCAUGUAUCUGAGGAAGUGGAAUGUAAUCCAUGAAAACUAAAAUUGAAAUAGAUCUAUUAGUUUUUAAAAGGCACAAUCAUUUUGUUUCAUUUUACUACUGUACCUAUAAACCCUUCUCUGUACUUAUGAGUUCUGUAGGAAAGGACACAACUUUUAGUACAAAAGCACUGUACAGUACUGCUGUGUAGCAUCUUAAAAAUGUUUGUUUCAUUCUGUUUCCCAUUAGCUUUUGUAGCGUCCCCAGAAGAAGGAGAUAGGAAACUAUUUUUGAAUACAGUAUACGAUGCUCAGAAAACUCUGGAAAGGUCGCCGUAACUCAGAAUUGACUUAACAGCAUACAGUAUUAUGAUGAUGAUGCAGCUCUCUUCAUCCUUCUACAAAAGCUCACAUCUAAUAAUACUUCUGUUUUUAAGAAGCUGCAAAACUGUCGGUUUGGCAGCAGCGCCGCCCGAAACUUCAAAAGAAAAUGUAAUACAGUACUAGUCUCGGUGACGCUGAGGCAAUUCCACGAGGAAUUUACAAGAGAGAAGAGAGCAGCUUGUGCGGCUGUGACUCAGUCAACUCGAUUUGUCUCUUAGGAUCUUAACGAGACAAGGAAUGUGAGAAUUGUCGCGUCCCUGUCGGUCAAGCGAUCGCUCCCCGGGAGACCCGAACUUCAGGCUUCUCUUUACGGCCAGCCCGAAAAAGCGGGCAAACUAAGGAAGUAUUACCACCUACAGUCUGCACCAAUCACACUCCGCGGUUCCUAAUACUCCAGCCGUUCUCGCUUGUUAGCUGUUACCGUAAAGCAAAGCAACACGGCCAAUUAGUUACGUCCACGACCGCUCCCCACUCCGUUUGCGACAUUUAAGAUG